rnacentral:rRNA from 1 species
AUUGAACGCUGGCGGCAUGCCUUACACAUGCAAGUCGAACGGUAACAGGUCUUCGGAUGCUGACGAGUGGCGAACGGGUGAGUAAUACAUCGGAACGUGCCCGAGAGUGGGGGAUAACGAAGCGAAAGCUUUGCUAAUACCGCAUACGAUCUCAGGAUGAAAGCAGGGGACCGCAAGGCCUUGCGCUCACGGAGCGGCCGAUGGCAGAUUAGGUAGUUGGUGGGAUAAAAGCUUACCAAGCCGACGAUCUGUAGCUGGUCUGAGAGGACGACCAGCCACACUGGGACUGAGACACGGCCCAGACUCCUACGGGAGGCAGCAGUGGGGAAUUUUGGACAAUGGGCGCAAGCCUGAUCCAGCCAUGCCGCGUGCAGGAUGAAGGCCUUCGGGUUGUAAACUGCUUUUGUACGGAACGAAAAGACUCUGGUUAAUACCUGGGGUCCAUGACGGUACCGUAAGAAUAAGCACCGGCUAACUAC